AAGACAAGAGCCACUCAAUUAGCCAAGGACACUUGCCAAACAUAACCCACAAAAGGGCUCUCAUUCUUCUGAUUUGGAAAACCCCAAUGGUGGACGUAGGCAAGUCAUCCUUGGCUAGCAAAGCAAAGUUCUUCAUCU
rfam:Citrus sinensis cultivar Ridge Pineapple sweet orange scaffold10265_contig_1, whole genome shotgun sequence.